rnacentral:rRNA from 1 species
CUGGUAGAGAUAUCAGUUCCCUUGUGGUUGGUGUGCAGGUGGUGCAUGGCUGUCGUCAGCUGGUGUCGUGAGAUGUGGGUUAAGUCCCGCAACGAGCGCAACCCUUGUUCCAUGUUGCCAGCGGGUGAUGCCGGGGACUCAUGGGAGACUGCCGGGGUCAACUCGGAGGAAGGUGGGGAUGACGUCAAGUCAUCAUGCCCCUUAUGUCCAGGGCUUCACACAUGCUACAAUGGCCUAUACAGAGGGCUGCGAGACCGUGAGGUGGAGCAAAUCCCUUAAAGUAGGUCUCAGUUCGGAUCGGGGUCUGCAACUCGACCCCGUGAAGUUGGAGUCGCUAGUAAUCGCAGAUCAGCAACGCUGCGGUGAAUACGUUCCCGGGCCUUGUACACACCGACAGUCACGUCACGAAAGUUGGUA